rnacentral:rRNA from 1 species
GAUGAACGCUGGCGGCGUGCUUAAUACAUGCAAGUCGAGCGAACAGACGCGGAGCUUGCUCCUCUGUCGUUAGCGGCGGGCGGGUGAGUAACACGUGGAUAACCUACCUAUCAGUCUGGGAUCACUUCGGGACACCGGAGCUAAUACCGGAUAACAUCUUGCACCGCAUGGUGCAACAGUGAAAGACGGUUUUGGUGUAACUUCUAGAUGGUUCCGCGUCGCAUUAGCUAGUUGGUAAGGUAAAGGCUUAUCAAGGCAACGAUGCGUAGCCGACGUGAGAGAGUGAUCGCCCACACUGGAACUGGGACGCGGUCCAGACUCCUACGGGAGGCACCAGUAGGGAAUCUUCCGCAAUGGGCGAGAGCCUGACGGAACAACGCGGCGUGAGAGAAGGAGGUCCUCGGAUCGUAAAACUCUGUUAUUAGUUAAGAACAAAUUUCUAAGGAACUAUGCACGGCUUGACGGUACCUAGUCAGAAAGCCACGGCUAACUACGUG